rnacentral:rRNA from 1 species
CAAUAGCGUAUAUUAAAGUUGUUGCAGUUAGAACGCUCGUAGUCGGAUUUCGGGGCGGGCCGACCGGUCUGCCGAUGGGUACGCACUGGUCGGCGCGUCCUUCCUUCCGGAGACCGUGCCUACUCUUAACUGAGCGGGGGCGGGAGACGGAUCGUUUACUUUGAAAAAAUCAGAGUGUUUCAAGCAGGCAGCUCGCUCUUGCAUGGAUUAGCAUGGGAUAAUGAAAUAGGACUUUGGUGCUAUUUUGUUGGUUUCGAACACCGAAGUAAUGAUUAAAAGGGACAGUCAGGGGCACUCGUAUUCCGCCGAGAGAGGUGAAAUUCUCAGACCAGCGGAAGACGAACCACUGCGAAAGCAUUUGCCAGGGAUGUUUNCACUGA